AAUAGUACAAGACUUGAUGAUCAACACACUUCUAGGUAGUCUCUUUUUAUAAGCACCAAGGGAAUCUCCUUUCACUGUUUACAUCAUUACAUCUUAUUCCUAAAGAAUCUUACUUUAUGACUUACUACUACUUCAUAUUACAUCACACAGUAUAUUUUUUUCACUAAGGAAUAUUACUUUACAAUUCACAACACGUGAUACACACUACUAUUAUUAUUAUUUUCGGGUUCAGUUCAGAUCGGGUCAACCUGAUCCGAACGCCCACCCUUAGUUAAAACCAUUUUUUUCUCCAAAAGUGACAGCUAGGGGUAGACAAAUAAUCCGACCUGAUCCAACCUAACCCCGAUCUGAUAAAAAAAAUUUAGGUUAGGAUUGGAUCAUAUUAUUGUCCUAAUCCAGUCGGAUGAUAAUUUAACCAACUUGAUCGGAUCAUGAUCAGCAUCAUAGAACUUGUAUGGAUUUAAAGGAUCUAAUCUGAAGGAUUGGAUAGCCUUUUGAUUGGUUUCUUUUUAAGUCUUGAAAUGAAAAUUUACAAUAUGGGAAUUUUUAUUUAAAGAAAAAGAAGAGGAAGCCUCCAUACUAGAAGUUUGUACCUCAGAUUUGGUUAUCAUGGCUAUCCAUAGUCCUAGAUAGCCCUGAAUUUGGGUAUUAAUAUUCAGGAGGAUACACAACAGACUUUUUUUACCAGUGAUAAGUCAAAACACACAACUCUCUUUGACUUAAUAACUGAGCGCCACACAUUUUAAAAGAAUCUUUUUUUAUGUAUUUCUUAACCAAAUAACCAAACUUUAAAAAUACAACCUUUCUAAUCUUCUAUAAUUUUUCUGAUGUGGAAGAUUCGUUUUAAUAGCAGCUACAGAAGAUACUUUAUUGUAGAAGAGUUUUUAGAAGAUUCUUUUGGAAGUAUUGGCUCUGAUACCAAAAUAGAUAAUUUUGAAUGAAAAGUAUUUUAUUACAAGUAGAGAAGAGAAUAGUACAAGACUUGAUGAUCAACACACUUCUAGGUAGUCUCUUUUUAUAAGCACCAAGGGAAUCUCCUUUCACUGUUUACAUCAUUACAUCUUAUUCCUAAAGAAUCUUACUUUAUGACUUACUACUACUUCAUAUUACAUCACACAGUAUAUUUUUUUCACUAAGGAAUAUUACUUUACAAUUCACAACACGUGAUACACACUACUAUUAUUAUUAUUUUCGGGUUCAGUUCAGAUCGGGUCAACCUGAUCCGAACGCCCACCCUUAGUUAAAACCAUUUUUUUCUCCAAAAGUGACAGCUAGGGGUAGACAAAUAAUCCGACCUGAUCCAACCUAACCCCGAUCUGAUAAAAAAAAUUUAGGUUAGGAUUGGAUCAUAUUAUUGUCCUAAUCCAGUCGGAUGAUAAUUUAACCAACUUGAUCGGAUCAUGAUCAGAUUGAUUGAACCCGAUCCAAUCUGAAAAUCUGAUUGGAUUCGUCUCUUAUAAUAAUAAUAAUAAUAAUAAUAAUAAUAAUAAUAAUAAUAAUAAUAAUAAUAAUUCUUUUCUAAUUGAAUGAACAUUACAACAAGUCGACACUCAACAACACAAAUUUACAAACAUCGGCAGCCGCAACACAGCACACACACACACACACACACACACACAAAACAAACACAGCAAUAGUAGCACUUCAUACAUGCAGUGGUAGCUGGCGGUAGCACUCACCAAACUGAUGCAAACGUUGAGACAUAGACGAAGGAAUCAUCGAUACCCUACGCAACCCACAGUCACUGCUGACCGGAUCUGUUGCUUCGUAACUGGAUCUACUGAUGUUACUACUCCAAGCUCCUUCAAGCUCCAAGCCUCCAACCCGAAUGUUUUAUGGUAUUGUUAAUAAUAAAAUCAAAAAGUUGAUGUAUUGAAAAUUUAGAGCUUGAUUGGUUAAUCCUUGUAAGCUUAAAUCAAAAUUCAAAAGUAUGAAUUGAUUUUUUUUUUUUUUUUUUGUAUGAAUGCCUGAAUAGAUUAAAAUCAAAUAUUCUAUAAUACAUGAUAGUGUAAAGAACAAACACUCGAUUAAAAUAAUACAAUAAAAUAAAAAUCAAACAAUUAAACUAAAACCUCAAAAAAUUAGCCAAAAGUAAUGGAUCAAGCUAGCCACUGACAAUCUGACAUAAACAAGCGAUGCAAAAAAAAUCAUCAAAAAUCAAAAAAGAAAAAGAAAUCAUAAACAAAACAGAAAGACAAGUAAAUAAACCCAUGUUAUUUAUUCCGUGUGUAACGAGCCAAAAAAAAAAAAAAACUUACCUAAAGAAUCAUAAAAAUAAAGAAACGAAUUAAAAAAGAUUUUUGUUUUUCUUCUUUGCAAUCUCAAAGCUAGUUUUGUGUUAAGGGUGAAGAGGAGUGUGUAUCAAAUAAGAAGAAACUUUGUUUAUAUCAAAAAAAAAAAAAAAAAACACACACACACACACACACACAAAACAAAAGAAUGACAAUAGGAAGAGAAGAAUAUGCAAGAAGAUAUUAGGAGCUGUUUCAUAUUUAAAGAAUUAAGACAACAAUUACGUGCAACAAGUUUGUACAAAUUAAUCUAGAAGCGUGUUGGUUAGGCUAUUUGUGAGAGACUUUAAAAAAAUAAAGUGGAAAUAAUAA
rnacentral:lncRNA from 1 species